AUUGAACGCUGGCGGCAGGCCUAACACAUGCAAGUCGAGCGAGCGGCGGACGGGUGAGUAAUGUCUGGGAAACUGCCUGAUGGAGGGGGAUAACUACUGGAAACGGUAGCUAAUACCGCAUACAAUCAGAGGUGCCCAGAUGGGAUUAGCUAGUAGGUGGGGUAACGUCUGGCCUAGGCGACGAUCCCGAGCUGGGCUAGGAGGAUGACCAGCCAACCUGGAACUGAGACACGGUCCAGACUCCUACGGGAGGCAGCAGGGGGGAAUAGUGUACAAUGGGCGCAAGCCUGAUGCAGCCAUGCCGCGUGUUUGAAGAAGGCCUUCGGGUUGUAAAGCACUUUCAGCGGGGAGGCGUUACCCGCAGAAGAAGCACCGGCUAACUCCGUGCCAGCCGCCGCGGUAAUUC
rnacentral:rRNA from 1 species